ACACAUGCAAGUCGAGGGGUAUAGUUCUUCGGAACUAGAGACCGGCGCACGGGUGCGUAACGCGUAUGCAAUCUACCUUGUACAGAGGGAUAGCCCAGAGAAAUUUGGAUUAAUACCUCAUAGUGUUAUUGAAUGGCAUCAUUUAAUAACUAAAGUUCUAACGGUACAAGAUGAGCAUGCGUCCCAUUAGUUAGUUGGUAAGGUAACGGCUUACCAAGACAAUGAUGGGUAGGGGUCCUGAGAGGGAGAUCCCCCACACUGGUACUGAGACACGGACCAGACUCCUACGGGAGGCAGCAGUGAGGAAUAUUGGACAAUGGGCGCAAGCCUGAUCCAGCCAUGCCGCGUGCAGGAUGACUGCCCUAUGGGUUGUAAACUGCUUUUAUACAGGAAGAAACACUGCUACGUGUAGCAGCUUGACGGUACUGUAGGAAUAAGGAUCGGCUAACUCCGUGCCAGCAGCCGCGGUAAUACGGAGGAUCCAAGCGUUAUCCGGAAUCAUUGGGUUUAAAGGGUCCGUAGGCGGCCUUAUAAGUCAGUGGUGAAAUCUCCUAGCUCAACUAGGAAACUGCCAUUGAUACUGUAGGGCUUGAAUUUUUAGGAAGUAACUAGAAUAUGUAGUGUAGCGGUGAAAUGCUUAGAUAUUACAUGGAAUACCAAUUGCGAAGGCAGGUUACUACUAAUGGAUUGACGCUGAUGGACGAAAGCGUGGGUAGCGAACAGGAUUAGAUACCCUGGUAGUCCACGCCGU
rnacentral:rRNA from 1 species